rnacentral:tRNA from 1 species
CGGGAAGUAGCUCAGCUUGGUAGAGCACUUGGUUUGGGACCAAGGGGUCGCCGGUUCGAAUCCUGUCUUCCCGA